UACGGAGGGUGCGAGCGUUGUCCGGAUUUAUUGGGUUUAAAGGGUGCGUAGGUGGCCGAUUAAGUCAGUGGUGAAAGCCCACAGCUCAACUGUGGAAUUGCCAUUGAUACUGGUUGGCUUGAGUAUAGACGAGGUAGGCGGAAUUUAUGGUGUAGCGGUGAAAUGCAUAGAUACCAUAAAGAACACCGAUAGCGAAGGCAGCUUACUAGACUAUAACUGACACUGAGGCACGAAAGCGUGGGGAGCAAACAGG
rnacentral:misc_RNA from 1 species